rnacentral:rRNA from 1 species
AACGAACGCUGGCGGCAGGCCUAACACAUGCAAGUCGGGCGAACGACCUUACUUCGGUUUGGGAGUUAGCGGCGGACGGGUUAGUAACGCGUGGGAAUAUGCCCUUUGGUACGGAACAACAGUUGGAAACGACUGCUAAUACCGUAUGUGCCCUACGGGGGAAAGAUUUAUCGCCAAAGGAUUAGCCCGCGUUGGAUUAGAUAGUUGGUGAGGUAAUGGCUCACCAAGUCUGCGAUCCAUAGCUGGUUUGAGAGGAUGAUCAGCAACACUGGGGCUGAGACACGGCCCAG